rnacentral:tRNA from 1 species
UGAUAAUUAGUUUAAAUUAAAAUAAGUGAUNUCGACUCACUAGAUUAUGUGCUAACAUAAUUAUCAA